rnacentral:rRNA from 1 species
UACGUAGGGAGCAAGCGUUGUCCGGAAUCAUUGGGCGUAAAGCGCGCGUAGGUGGCCCAGUAAGUCCGCUCUGAAAGUCAAAGGCUCAACCUUUGAAAGCGGGUGGAUACUGCUGGGCUAGAGUCCGGAAGAGGCGAGUGGAAUUCCUGGUGUAGCGGUGGAAUGCGCAGAUAUCAGGAGGAACACCAACGGCGAAGGCAGCUCGCUGGGACGGUACUGACACUGAGGCGCGAAAGCGUGGGGAGCGAACAGG